AGUGUUUACUUAGAACAAAGGUGGGGACGUAAAAGGUCACUGACCAUGGGAAAAAGGUGUUUGGAGGCUACAUCGUUAUCACAGCCCUGCCACAGUCUCUGCUCCAAGUAAAGAUCAGUGACUAAAGGAAAUUAAUAUGCCACGGAGGCCUCCUUCGACAACAGAGAAUGUAUUCUGGUCACCAAGCAGCACAAGGAGGCCUGUAAUUCAGAUACACGAUAUCUCGACCGUCUUUAAAGAUCAGCUAUCACAAAAGUAGGAGUCAAAAGCCCGAAGGGCAGCUCCACGGUGAUACCUUUCUUCUCAGAUGUCCUUAAAAUGUGACUUCCGGCCUCAUGCUCACUGCUCCAUGGUCACGCGAGGCUGGCUCAUCUCCUACAUAGCGUUUGCGUUCCAGCCCAAAAGAAAGGAAGAGGUAUCUGUGUUGCGAGUCUUUCUCCAUUUAGAUUAACAGAUUAACUUCAUAAAACCUAGAUUUUUGUAUUUUUAGAAAAACAGCUACCACAUAGAUAAGAUCCUUAUGAAUAUGAGGGGCACAGAUUGGAUUUGUCCUGCAAAAAUAGCAUUUUACAUGUGAUUCUAAUGGCUGAGAAAAUAUCAGUGAUAUAGCAGAGAAAUGAUUCCCCCUUUCCCCAGGCCAAUUUCGUCUCCUUCUUUCCUAGUGUUGGUCUCAGCUACUUUAAGAUGCAGAGCCAAAUUAUUUAAUAAUAACAACGAUAAUUAUAACAAUGAUAGAAACUAGCCUAUGCCGAUCACACAUGAUGGGUCGGGCAACGUUCUAACCACUUUCGUGUAUUAACUCAUUUAUUCCUUACAGCAGUCUCAAGACAGAGGGAUACUAUUUUUAAUUUUGUUAUGUCAUCCUCAAGUCUUGGUAAAUUGAACUGGGCUCAGAACCCCCUUUGUCAAAGAUUUGUUUUGGGAGAAGGAGAUGAAGUGAUGUUAGCUAUAGAAACUGAGGAGGUUUGGAGAGAGGUAAGGACCGGUAGAAUAAUUACAGUUGAUGGGGAAGACACACACCUGUGCUUCCCAGCUCCCCUCCCUCCCUCGGGCCCCUAGUUUGUUACUUCUAGUCUACAUAAUUAAUUAUAAAUAUCACUAACAUUUGUGAUGCCUGAACUCAAAGCUAUAAAAACCUGAGUGUGGGAGUCGAUAGCUUGCUUAAGUAGUAAGAUGGAGAGUCGCUGUGAAAUGUGUGGCAAGAUGGCAGAAAGCCUCUGCUCUCCUCUUCCAGGGGAUUUCUUGUGAAAAGUGGAC